rnacentral:rRNA from 1 species
GACGAACGCUGGCGGCGUGCUUAACACAUGCAAGUCGAACGGAAAGGCCCUGCUUUUGUGGGGUGCUCGAGUGGCGAACGGGUGAGUAACACGUGAGUAACCUGCCCUUGACUUUGGGAUAACUUCAGGAAACUGGGGCUAAUACCGGAUAGGAGCUCCUGCUGCAUGGUGGGGGUUGGAAAGUUUCGGCGGUUGGGGAUGGACUCGCGGCUUAUCAGCUUGUUGGUGGGGUAGUGGCUUACCAAGGCUUUGACGGGUAGCCGGCCUGAGAGGGUGACCGGCCACAUUGGGACUGAGGUACGGCCCAGACUCCUACGGGAGGCAGCAGUGGGGAAUAUUGCACAAUUGGCGGAAGCCUGAUGCAGCAACGCCGCGUGCGGGAUGACGGCCUUCGGGUUGUAAACCGCUUUCGCCUGUGACGAAGCGUGAGUGACGGUAAUGGGUAAAGAAGCACCGGCUAACUACGUG